GCCGAGGUGGCGGAACGGCAGACGCGCUGCGUUCAGGGCGCAGUGUCCUUACGGGCGUAGGAGUUCAAAUCUCCUCCUCGGCACCA
rnacentral:tRNA from 2 species